rnacentral:rRNA from 1 species
UGCGAGUGAAGCGGGAAAAGCUCAAAUUUAAAAUCUGGCAGUGGCUCACUGCCCGAGUUGUAAUCUAGAGAAGUGUUGCUCACACUGGACCAUGUAUAAGUCUUCUGGAAUGAAGCGUCAUAGAGGGUGAGAAUCCCGUCUUUGACAUGGACUCCCAGUGUAUUUGUAGUAUGCUCUCAAAGAGUCGAGUUGUUUGGGAAUGCAGCUCUAAAUGGGUGGUAACCUCCAUCUAAAGCUAAAUAUUGGCGAGAGACCGAUAGUGAACAAGUACCGUGAGGGAAAGAUGAAAAGAACUUUGGAAAGAGAGUUAAAAAGUACGUGAAAUUGUUGAAAGGGAAACGCUUGAAGUCAGUCACAUUGGCCAGGGAUCAACUUGCUUAAGUGUACUUCCUGGUUGAUGGGCCAACAUCAGCUUUGACUGUCAGAGAAGGGUAGGGGGAAUGUGGCACCCUCUUGGGUGUGUUAUAGCCCUCUGUCAUAUAUGGCCGUUGGGGCUGAGGAAUGCAGCGCGCCGCAAGGCCGGGUUUCGACCACGUUCGCGCUUAGGAUGUUGGCAUAAUGGCUUUAAUCGACCCGUCUUGAAACACGGACCAAGGAGUCUAACAUGCCUGCGAGUGUUUGGGUGGAAAACCCGAGUGCAUAAUGAAAGUGAAAGUUGAGAUCCCUGUCAUGGGGUGCAUCGACGCCCGGACCUGAGCUUUUUAGCAAUGGCUCUGCGGUAUAGCAUGUAUGUUGGGACCCGAAAGAUGGUGAACUAUGCCUGAAUAGGGCGAAGCCAGAGGAAACUCUGGUGGAGGCUCGUAGCGAUUCUGACGUGCAAUCGA